AAAUUGAAGAGUUUGAUCAUGGCUCAGAUUGAACGCUGGCGGCAGGCCUAACACAUGCAAGUCGAACGGUAACAGGAAGCAGCUUGCUGCUUCGCUGACGAGUGGCGGACGGGUGAGUAAUGU
rnacentral:rRNA from 5 species